GGAAGUGCCCGGCUUCCCGGAAGUGCCCGGCUGGCUGACAGAGAGGAGGUUUACCUGAACGCUGCAAGAAGAGGGUUGUGGUUCUGGAGUUUGGGUGACGGCUGGAGGAGAGACUCGGGGUCGAGGUGGGCGCCAGGAGGGAGCUGGGCGGCGGGAUGAUGGAGGAGGAGGAACUGGAGUUCGUGGAGGAGCUGGAAGCCGUGCUGCAGCUCACGCCUGACGUGCAGCUCGCCAUAGAGCAGGUAUUUCCAAGCCAGGAUCCUCUAGAUCGUGCAGAUUUCAAUGCAGUGGAGUAUAUCAAUACCUUAUUCCCAACAGAACAAUCUCUGGCAAACAUAGAUGAAGUCGUGAACAAAAUUAGACUGAAAAUAAGGAGACUGGAUGACAAUAUUCGAACUGUUGUAAGAGGUCAAACAAACGUGGGGCAGGAUGGCAGGCAAGCACUUGAAGAGGCCCAGAAAGCUAUUCAGCAACUCUUUGGCAAAAUCAAAGAUAUCAAAGACAAAGCAGAAAAGUCGGAGCAAAUGGUUAAGGAAAUCACCCGCGAUAUUAAGCAGCUAGAUCAUGCCAAACGCCACCUGACCACCUCAAUCACAACACUGAACCACCUGCACAUGUUAGCAGGUGGUGUGGAUUCGCUCGAAGCCAUGACCAGGCGAAGACAGUAUGGAGAAGUUGCUAACCUUCUUCAAGGUGUGAUGAAUGUUCUGGAGCAUUUCCACAAGUAUAUGGGAAUUCCACAGAUCCGGCAGCUUUCUGAAAGAGUGAAGGCUGCCCAGACUGAAUUAGGACAGCAAAUCCUGGCUGAUUUUGAAGAAGCGUUUCCUUCCCAAGGCACCAAGAGGCCAGGAGGACCCAGCAAUGUGCUACGAGAUGCAUGUCUGGUUGCUAAUAUUUUGGAUCCUAGAAUCAAACAGGAAAUCAUCAAAAAAUUUAUCAAACAGCAUCUGUCAGAAUAUCUAGUACUUUUUCAAGAAAACCAAGAUGUUGCCUGGCUGGACAAAAUCGACAGACGCUAUGCCUGGAUAAAACGCCAGCUUGUGGACUAUGAGGAGAAAUACGGCCGUAUGUUUCCACGUGAGUGGUACAUGACUGAGAGGAUUGCAGUAGAAUUUUGCCAUGUCACAAGGACAGAACUUGCCAAGAUUAUGCGUACCAGAGCUAAGGAAAUUGAAGUGAAACUGCUUCUUUUUGCUAUUCAGAGAACAACUAACUUUGAGGGAUUUCUUGCAAAACGCUUCUCCGGGUGCACCCUAACAGAUGGAACUCUGAAAAAACUUGAGUGUCCACCCCCAUCCACCAAUCCCUUUCUGGAAGAUGAGCCAGCACCAGAGAUGGAGGAACUGACAAUGGAGAAAGGAGAUUUAGAUCAACCAAAGAAGCCUAAAGCCCCAGACAAUCCAUUUCAUGGCAUUGUCUCCAAGUGUUUCGAGCCUCAUCUCUACGUGUAUAUUGAGUCCCAGGACAAAAACCUUGGAGAGCUGAUUGAUAGGUUUGUGGCCGAUUUCAAAGCCCAGGGGCCACCUAAGCCCAACACUGAAGAAGGAGGUGCUGUGCUCCCCAGCUGUGCUGAUCUCUUUGUCUACUACAAGAAGUGCAUGGUGCAGUGCUCUCAACUCAGUACUGGGGAGCCAAUGAUCGCUCUGACCACCAUUUUCCAGAAGUACCUCCGAGAAUAUGCCUGGAAAAUCCUUUCUGGCAAUCUACCCAAAACCACAAGCAGCAGUGGAGGGCUGACCAUCAGCAGCCUCCUCAAAGAAAAGGAAGGCUCAGAAGUAGCCAAGUUCACUCUAGAGGAGCUCUGCCUCAUCUGUGGCAUCCUAAGCACAGCCGAGUACUGUCUGGCUACCACCCAGCAGCUAGAAGAAAAACUCAAGGAAAAAGUUGAUGUAAGUCUGAUUGAACGAAUCAAUCUGACUGGAGAAAUGGAUACAUUUAGCACUGUCAUCUCGAGCAGCAUCCAGUUAUUGGUUCAAGAUCUGGAUGCUGCCUGUGAUCCUGCCCUUACUGCCAUGAGCAAGAUGCAGUGGCAGAAUGUGGAACACGUUGGUGACCAGAGCCCUUAUGUCACCUCUGUCAUUCUUCACAUUAAGCAGAAUGUCCCUAUCAUCCGUGACAACCUAGCUUCCACACGGAAAUACUUCACUCAAUUCUGCAUUAAGUUUGCAAACUCCUUCAUUCCCAAGUUCAUCACCCACCUCUUCAAGUGCAAGCCAAUUAGCAUGGUGGGAGCAGAACAGCUGCUGCUAGACACUCAUUCCCUAAAGAUGGUCCUGCUCGAUCUACCGUCCAUUGGCUCACAGGUGGUGAGGAAAGCACCUGCCAGUUACACUAAGAUUGUUGUGAAAGGCAUGACCCGGGCAGAAAUGAUACUCAAGGUGGUGAUGGCCCCUCAUGAACCGUUGGUGGUGUUUGUUGACAACUACAUCAAACUCCUUACAGACUGCAACACAGAAACCUUCCAGAAGAUAUUGGACAUGAAGGGGCUGAAGAGAAGUGAGCAGAGCAGCAUGCUGGAACUCUUGCGCCAGAGGCUCCCCACCCCGCCUUCAGGGCCAGAAGGCUCCAGCUCAUUGUCCCUCCUGGCUCCGACACCAGAACAGGAAUCAUCUCGCAUCCGCAAACUAGAGAAACUAAUUAAAAAGAGACUGUAGGAGUCCACAAAGGGCGCUUUUUCCCCCUGGCUGGUGACCCACAGCACCCCAUUGCCUGGAAGCCCCCCACCUCUUCUGUGCUCUCCCUAACUCUCAGAUCAUCAGUCUUGAAACUUCCUGGGACAUUUGGGUUGUUAAUGAGUCUUCCCUGUGACCAGUCUUAAUUUGUGUCUUAAUCAAGAAGCCAAGCAAAUGCAGGCUGAUAAAAAGGGGUUCCUACAGCAUAGGCAGUAGUAGACAAAAGGGCUCUGCAGUUCACUUGUGGUCCUGGGUUGCCUUCAACUGGUCCAGCUGUCACUGGCCUCGCAGCCUCACCUCUGCAAUCACACCGUCUGGCAUGUGGCCCUAUCUCCUGGGCCUAUCCAGGCAACUAGGGUGAGAAAUCCUGGAUCUCACCCCUUCCUCCUCUGUAGCCAGGCCCUAAGAUUUGUCCUCCCUGCUCUAUGGGUUUGGCUUUGGGGCCCGAGUUAAUGAGGUGGAAGAUUACAGGUGUAGGACAUUAGCCUGGUGGUAGGAAGGCAAUGGAAGCAAGAGUACUCUUCCUUGUAGAUUCAUUUCCUGGUACAUAUUUUCAUGACUGGGCCAAUGCGUUCUUCCCAUUUCUCUGGAACCUGUAGUCUCCUGUUGAUAUACAUCUAAGGAAAAAUUCCCACUGUCUCUCACCCAGGAAGAUUGGAUGUACUGGACCUUGGAUACAGGUGUCUUCUGUGCCAUGGGGCUCCUUGCUCAGGUGUGGGGCUAGACCUAUAUAUAUCUGCCUUGGAGAGAGACUUCUGCUUGGGACACUCACUGUAUGAUGUAAGCAGGUUAUUAUUCCCCCCAUUCUCCUGACUUCUAAGGGAAGUAUUGCCUUCUUUGAAGAGAAACUAGGAAGUUUCUUCUCAGAUGAAGCUAUGGGACUGCGCAGGAGGCCUGGGCCCUCUAACCCCCUUCCUGCUCAUUUAUUUUGAAACCCAAAUAACUUUACAGAAUGAUCUGAAACAACAAAGGUGAUGUGAAGUGCCAGAAUGACAUAUUACUUUAUUACUAACGAGAAAGAACCCAGGUCCAUGGAUACCUUAGGAACAGAAUGUUGACCUUAAAACACCUGCUCGGAGCCUGGCCCAGCCCAGAACGCAACGUGAGCCCUGGCCUGCCAAUCCUAUCCACUGGCUCACCACCAGCAGAGCUUUGCAGAAGAGAACUGCCUCCAAGAACUGCUUCAGUCCUCACAUCAUACAGAAGGUCACAUGCCAGAAGGUCACAGCUGUAUGAGAACAGACCGCAUAGCAGAAUCCAGCACCUCUCCCCAGCCCACUGGCCUUUGCCUGCUCACCAAGGCUGUGCCCUCUGUCCUUUGGUGAAGGAGUGGAGUUUGAUCCCUUACCGCCAACGGAAGUAAGGUACACUUCAUCGGUCAAGUAUGACUCGGAGCGGCACUUCAUUGAUGAUGUCCACCUGCCCCUGGGCCUGGCAGUGGCCUCCUGUAGCUACACCGUCACCUGCCUCCCCAACUGCACCUGGCGCAACUACAAGGCAGAGGUGCACUUCAAGCCCUGCCACAAGCCCACCCGCUUCCUCAGCACCACCAUCGUCUACCCCAAGUACCCCAAGACCGUCUACACGACCACCCUGGAUUACAACUGCCGCAAGACGCUGAGGAGGUUCCUGUCCAGCGUGGAGCUCGAAGCCACAGAGCUCCCAGGCAGCGAUGGCCUCCCAGAUGAGUGCUGACGUGAGCCUGUGUGGGGUUGGACCAGCUCUUCUGCUGCCCUCCAUGGCCUUCGUGCCCCAGAGGAGUCUGACCUAGCCAUACCUCUAAGCCUGGCCUGGGGAAGGAGAAAAUGUCAUGGCAUCUUACAAUCAUUGAGACGAUUUGGUUUUUUAAAACGUUCAAAUUAUUUUCAAAAUAUUUCCAGUUUGCUGCUGUGCAGCUUCCCCCAAAGUCUCAAUUCGAUGAGCAAAUAGAAAGCCAACUGGAGCAAAAGAAAAAUGGGCCCAGUUUGAAAUAGGGAGGGAAGAGAGGGCUCUUCUUCCAUUGCUCAGUCAGCCUGUUAGCCCGAGGAAGAGUGUGGAGAAAGUGUCCGGGAUGGAAAAAGUGAGUUUUAAGAACUUUCAGCCCAGGAUGUCUUCACUGACAGCGGUGCUGGUUCUGUGAGCUGACAUCCAGAUGGGUCCCAUCUGUGGAGAGCUGAGUUCCAUUCCCUAGUUUAUUCCCAUUUGUACUUCCUGUAUCACCAAAACUCUUGGGAUUCUCCAAACCCUUUUCGUAUCAAAAAACCCCAAACCACAAUAUAAAAUAAAGAUACCUCUUUAAAAAAGAAAGGAUGAAAAGGUUCAUCCUGUUCUCACCUCUCUUCAGGGGAGUCAGGUCCACCAGGGGCCAGUUUGACAGCAAUGGCUUCAGUUCUGGUUCCUUCGCCUGGGUGGCUCCGAGUGUGGGCUCUGGCAAAGCGCUUUGAACCCUUGGCAUCUGGUAAUGUCUCCACAGGCUUGUGUAACUCUCCUGGUAUGUAUUUUGGGGUUUCCAAAUACUUGCCUAUUUUUCUCAUAAGGCAAAAUGUAGCGGAGAGAAACAGCAUUUUGAGAGAAUGCUUAGGGAAACCACUUUUGGGGACUCCCUGAGGGGGCUUCACUCCCAGUGGGAAGGGCCGGCCACACCCAGGACUGCAUGGCCUCUGAGAGAGGCAGAUGGAGAUGUUUCUGGUGAUCUGUUUCAUCUGGAUGAGUCUCCUCUCCAGGGACCCUGGAUCAACUUCCAUGGAAUCCUGCCCCUGACUUUAGUCUAAGCCCAAAGGCUUUCCCUCCAGGUGAAAGAAAGGCCGGGAUUGCUGUCAGGAGUCAAACUCCCACACCUGGGCGCUGUGGUGAUGGCGCACAUUUCUUGUAAGUGCUUACUGUAAUGGCAGUGACAAUCAGGGCGUGAGGUGCAAAUGGACAACACUUUGUGAGUUCAGCUGAGUCGGCCUCAGAAGUAGAAAGGGGGGCGCCUGGGGGGCUCAGCGGCUGAGCGGCUGCCUUUGGCUCAGGACAUGAUCCCAGGGUCCAGGAUUAAGUCCCGCAUUGGGCUCCCUGCAUGGAGCCUGUGUCAUCCUCUGCCUGUGCCUCUCUCUGUGUCUCUCAUGAAUAAAGAAAUAAAAUCUUUAAAAAAAAAAAAAAAAGGCAGCAGAAAGGGCUGCUGGGCCAGGGGGUGUGGUGGGCCAGACUGUUUCUGGCUUUAGCCCCCUGCUCACCCUGCCUCCCCACCAGCCCAUACUUCCUCCUCCUGCCAAUCCCCGAGGUUUUUGAGUGAAGAAAGGGGCAGGUGGCUUUUUCUCUUUCAAUAUUGGAAAGAACAAUCGCGAAUAUUUUCUUUGAAUACAUCCAAAUUAUAUCACGUGCUCAAGGGCUGUAGAGUUUUAUAAGCCCGGAUUCCCGCUGUAUUUUUGGGUUUCUUUUGAUGGCUUCCAUGUAUCCUGAAAGCAGAAUCGAUAGCUCUGUGGGUACCCUGGAGCCACAGUGGGGACUUUUGUUCUGAGGAGAGCAGGUGUGAUUAUCAUCGCUCUCAUUUAGAGUCAUUGGAAACCUCUAGAACCAAACCGUCUGGUGUCCUCUUCAGCUUUAACAGUGUUUAGUCUGUCAUACUCUCGUUUGGAUGCAUCUCUGGGUGGAUCCUGCUGUUGGGUCCAUGGUCCUGAGUUUGCCGUAGUAAAGCUCAGCAGGGACUGGUAAAGAGGGCACCCUGGGACUCCGUGAUCACCUUCAUCACUCAGAGUGACAAACGCUAUCUGCCUCUGGAAGAGUCCAUUACGUGGCAUUUCUUGAUAAAAAUGGGUUUUUCUCUCUGAUUUCAUAAUCUUCUCAUUCAAGACAAGUGGUAAAUGUAAUUUUUAAAUUGUGUUAAGAGAGUUCCCAAGGCUUUAUUCUGGCCCAACGGGAACACUUCAAUGAGCUCAGAACAAUAUUGUGGGCAGCACGACAGGAGAGAUAUAUGGGAAACCAUGGCCUUUGUACACAGCUAUGUUUUGAGAUAUCCACGUGAGACUUUGUUUUUUGUUUUGGGGGUUGGAUUAGGUUCGGACAAAGCAUUCUAGGUGUGGAGAGAAUCUGAAAUAUACCAGUAAAGUAAGUAGAAGUGAGCAAUUGUGAAUGUGUAAUGUGAAUGGAAAAGCAGGUUUUAUCUUAAGUUAUUCACUAGGGAACUAACUGUAGUUCCUUCUAAUCCUUUCUUUUCCUUCAAACCUGCUUUGCUGCAAGUUACAGGAAAGAAGCAUAAGCAUAAGAAGACAUAAUGGGACACUUCAGGGUGGAUCAAGUGACAUUGAUCAUUGCUGGACUUAGGUUCAUUUACAAAGUGGAAGCCAUGAUUUUUAAAACUCCUUAUAAAUCUCCUUAAAACCAAACAUUCCUAAGCAUAUCUGAGAGAUACAGUUUACUAAAGUCUUUUUUUUUUUCAGUCUUAUAGGUUUCAUGUAAGAAGGAUGAUUUGUAUUUUCAGAGAAAAGUUGUUUUCUUUACAAAUUCAAAUCUUUUGAAAAGAACGAUUACAUUUUCACUUGAUUCUUUUCUUGUUUCUAACCUUAGGAAAUCCAGAAUAGUAUUUGACAAAAACAUUUUUAAAAUUUAUCUUUGACACCUGUCCCCAUUCCAUUUUGCUUUGUGACUUCCUCUCACUUCACAAUAAAUUAUCUUUAAAGAAACAAAA